UGAUUUGUUGUGCAGAGAACAUUGGCCUUCAUGUUUUGCCUAGAUCCAACCUUGAUGGAUUCAAACUCGGUGGUUUAUGAUUAACAUUCUUUCCCCGGCUGAUCGACUAUGAUGGAAACAAGAUUUGUUCAAUAAGCCAAUAUUUAUGAAACCGCUUGAAACACCAGUUAUUUUAGCAUCAUAGGUCACCCAUUCGUCUACACAUGUACUCAUCAAGGCUUCUUGUUUUUGUUAGUUUCUCAAGGUCACCAGGAAGCUCGUCUACCAGCGUGCCGUGGUGUACCACAAGACUGCUCAGACGUGAAGUCCGCCUAGCUCGCACUCCCCGCUGAGCCUAAGCUGGCCUUCAUCAUCAUGAUCCCAUGUCUUUCAAGGUGACCAGGAAGCUCGUCUAGAAGCCUGCUGGGCGUACCAGGGGGUACAGGACUGAUCCACCUCCGCUAAGGCCACCCUGGCCGUGGUCAUUGGGGUCCGAGGGGAGGGAGUAACGUCUGCCAUGCCCCUACCGCCCUCAGUGGGAAACGUCCUGGUCCCCGCCGAGCCUUCGUCAGCAGGAUCCCAGGACUCUCAAGAUGACCAGAGAAUCGUCUACAAACGUGCCGAGGUGUACCACAGAGUACAGGACUCAGUUCAGACGUGAAGUUGGCCUUCAUCAGGAUCACAGGAAUGGCUGAAGACUGGCCAGAUCCUUCAACAGGCUCCCAGCUGGGCGAGCCCCAUGCAUCAUCAUCCUCUGGACUGCAUUUAGGGAAGCGACGGAAUCGUCUGCAUGAGGGCUCAUCAUGCUAGUGAGAUGUAGCUCACAGAUGCACUUCAGACGAGCAGGCCUACUCCAGCAGUACUCGUCCCCUACUCCUGUCCCAUUAUGGCUCCUAGUCGCAUGUUAAUGAUGCACUUGUUGUUCCCCAUCUUAUCGACUGGUGAAACCCAAGCUGAAAAUAAGACAAUUUAGUCUGAAACCACAUCCUGGACUUGAGUCUCAUUGAUUGUUAUUGUGAAUCCGGAUCCUGUUUCAAAAGCAAAACAUAUAAAUCACUUUAUAUGUUGUGACUAGUAUUUAUUUUUUUAUCCUAAAUGAUUUUUGCUCCCUUUCCGGUUAUGUGUGAUUUCAACUGAGAAAUAAAAACAACAAAAACUAAUUGUUUCAGUGUGACAUUUUCUAUGGCCCACCUUUGGGGGGGAAACUGCAUUCUGAUGGCCCAGUACAGAUCUAGCCUGCCUCUUGGACUGUCUCCCAAACUAGUUGCUGUGGGAAGAUCAACUGGCAUAAUUA
ensembl:lncRNA